GAUGAACGCUAGCUACAGGCUUAACACAUGCAAGUCGCGGGGCAGCAUAGGGUUUUAGCAAUAAAAUUCGGAUGGCGACCGGCGCACGGGUGAGUAACACGUAUCCAACCUGCCCUUUACUUGGGGAUAGCCUUGCGAAAGCAAGAUUAAUACCCGAUGGCAUCAUCCGCCUGCAUGGGCGGCUGAUUAAAGGAGUAAUUUGUUAAUGGAUGGGGAUGCGUUCCAUUAGGCAGUAGGCGGGGUAGUGGCCCACCUAACCGACGAUGGAUAGGGGUUCUGAGAGGAAGGUCCCCCACAUUGGAACUGAGACACGGUCCAAACUCCUACGGGAGGCAGCAGUGAGGAAUAUUGGUCAAUGGGCGUGAGCCUGAACCAGCCAAGUAGCGUGGAGGAAGACGGCCCUACGGGUUGUAAACUCCUUUUGUACGGGAAUAACGGCGUCCACGUGUGGGCGUGUGCAUGUACCGUACGAAUAAGCAUCGGCUAACUCCGUGCCAGCAGCCGCCGUAA
rnacentral:rRNA from 1 species